GACGAACGCUGGCGGCGUGCUUAACACAUGCAAGUCGAACGGAAAGGCCCUGCUUUUGUGGGGUGCUCGAGUGGCGAACGGGUGAGUAACACGUGAGUAACCUGCCCUUGACUUUGGGAUAACUUCAGGAUACUGGGGCUAAUACCGGAUAGGAGCUCCUGCUGCAUGGUGGGGGUUGGAAAGUUUCGGCGGUUGGGGAUGGACUCGCGGCUUGUCAGCUUGUUGGUGGGGUAGUGGCUUACCAAGGCUUUGACGGGUAGCCGGCCUGAGAGGGUGACCGGCCACAUUGGGACUGAGAUACGGCCCAGACUCCUACGGGAGGCAGCAGUGGGGAAUAUUGCACAAUGGGCGGAAGCCUGAUGCAGCAACGCCGCGUGCGGGAUGACGGCCUUCGGGUUGUAAACCGCUUUCGCCUGUGACGAAGCGUGAGUGACGGUAAUGGGUAAAGAAGCACCGGCUAACUACGUG
rnacentral:rRNA from 1 species